GACGAACGCUGGCGGCGUGCUUAACACAUGCAAGUCGUACGGUAAGGCCCUUUCGGGGGUACACGAGUGGCGAACGGGUGAGUAACACGUGAGUAACCUGCCCACAACUUUGGGAUAACGCUAGGAAACUGGUGCUAAUACUGGAUAUGUGCUCCUGCUGCAUGGUGGGGGUUGGAAAGCUCCGGCGGUUGUGGAUGGACUCGCGGCCUAUCAGCUUGUUGGUGGGGUAGUGGCCUACCAAGGCGGCGACGGGUAGCCGGCCUGAGAGGGUGACCGGCCACAUUGGGACUGAGAUACGGCCCAGACUCCUACGGGAGGCAGCAGUGGGGAAUAUUGCACAAUGGGCGCAAGCCUGAUGCAGCAACGCCGCGUGCGGGAUGACGGCCUUCGGGUUGUAAACCGCUUUCAGCAGGGACGAAGCUUUUUGUGACGGUACCUGUAGAAGAAGCACCGGCUAACUACGUG
rnacentral:rRNA from 1 species